rnacentral:rRNA from 1 species
UACGUAGGGCGCAAGCGUUGUCCGGAAUUAUUGGGCGUAAAGAGCUCGUAGGCGGCUUGUCACGUCGGGUGUGAAAGCCCGGGGCUUAACCCCGGGUCUGCAUUCGAUACGGGCAGGCUAGAGUGUGGUAGGGGAGAUCGGAAUUCCUGGUGUAGCGGUGAAAUGCGCAGAUAUCAGGAGGAACACCGGUGGCGAAGGCGGAUCUCUGGGCCAUUACUGACGCUGAGGAGCGAAAGCGUGGGGGAGCGAACAGGAU